rnacentral:rRNA from 1 species
GAUGAACGCUGGCGGCGUGCCUAAUACAUGCAAGUAGAACGCUGAAGGAAGGAGCUUGCUCUUUCCGGAUGAGUUGCGAACGGGUGAGUAACGCGUAGGUAACCUGCCUGGUAGCGGGGAUAACUAUUGGAAACGAUAGCUAAUACCGCAUAACAGUAGAUGUUGCAUGAUAUCUACUUAAAAGGUGCAAUUGCACCACUACCAGAUGGACCUGCGUUGUAUUAGCUAGUUGGUGAGGUAACGGCUCACCAAGGCGACGAUACAUAGCCGACCUGAGAGGGUGAUCGGCCACACUGGGACUGAGACACGGCCCAGACUCCUACGGGAGGCAGCAGUAGGGAAUCUUCGGCAAUGGACGGAAGUCUGACCGAGCAACGCCGCGUGAGUGAAGAAGGUUUUCGGAUCGUAAAGCUCUGUUGUAAGAGAAGAACGAGUGUGAGAGUGGAAAGUUCACACUGUGACGGUAUCUUACCAGAAAGGGACGGCUAACUACGUG